rnacentral:lncRNA from 1 species
UUCUAUAAAUUCCUUGUUGUAAAAACCGCAACCAUUAUAGUGCAUUUGCUUCCGUGUGGAAGGACAUUGGAUGUAGGCAUCGUUGGCCAAACCAGUAUAAAAACCUGUGUUUGAUUUUCCUCUAUCCCUUAUCUUUUACAUUCCAUUCAACUCUAUUCUAACACAGUCUACUACGUUUUUUCCGCUGCAUACAUUUUUUGAUUGCUUGCAUUUCAAGAAAGUUUAAAAAGCUUUAUACUUUGUUUUCAAGAUUGCGAAAAGAACAUAUUUUUGAAACAUCAAA